AAUAAAAAGCACUGUGUUUAAUUGAACAUGCUCGUAUGUGUUUAAUUAAACAUGCUCGUAUGUGUUUAAUUGAACAUGCUCGUGUUGCUUUCUAUUUAGUUUAUGGCUCUAACUAUGACGCAACUUCGGCAUUCAAAUGACAUAUAUGCUAUGCGGUUAGCAAAGCAUAUAUAUCGAACACAAGGUUGUUAUUAUUCAUUUUAAUUGUCUAAAUUUUUUUUUAAUUAAACUCCAACAAAGCUGCAAUCUUUAGUUCAAACUUUAAUUAUGUUGGGAGUUAGCAGAAAAUUUAAAGUUAUAACUAAAAUUUUCAAUAACAGCACAUUCAAAUAACAUAUAUGCUAUGCGGUUAUCAGCAAAGAGUAUGUCGAAUUCAAGACAAAAAAUAAAACCUGCAAACAAUUUCUUUCUAUAUUUACUUGUUCAAGUGCCAGUGAAACGAACGAUAGAAAAGAAGAAGCAUUCAACUACCGUGAGACUUCUGUCCCAAUCUAACCUAGUGGAUUCAAAAAGAAAGGACCGAAAGGAGAACAUGAGGGGGUUAAAAGAAUCAGCUCUUUUUGAAUUUUGAAGUCGUAACCAGCUCGUAUGAAAAGAGUUCUCGACGUGAAUUAGUUAAUUUUAUUCAACAACACCAAGAAACAGAAA